GUCGCGCGCUCUCCGACCGGAGCGUGGGGGUCUCUUAGGGAGAUGGCUGCUCUGGGGUAGUCACCAGGCGCCGGGAAGGCUGGAUGGCGUCUGCCCCCAGGAGCUGCCUGGCCGCGCGCGCGCGUCAGCCCCCUCGGUGGAGCUGCGUGCCGAUGAGCAUGGCCACGCGAGAAGGACGCGGUGUUGGAGCUGGCCGGAGUCGGGCAGUGGCCUUGGGCGAGGGGAGGAGACAUUCCGGGCAGUGAAUAGAACACUCGGUCAUCCUUCCGAAAGGACCAGCAGUGAUUGGGUUAGGCAUGACCACAUGGUGAUCCACUCUUGACCAAUAGGAAGUUUUUGUAGAGCCGGCGCUAAAGAAGAUAUUUCUGGAAAAGGAUCCCCUAUAGCCCAGGUGAAAGACUUUGACACGAUUUAAAGUAACCCGCUCUUCUGUACGCACUGUUUAGUCUGCGUGGGAACGUGAUACGAAGGAGUUUAUCACCAUCAAUGAUGCUCUGAGUAUGAGGUAGCUAGACUUGCUGUCUUGUGUCAUUAAUGUGUUGUUAAGCUUCGGCCCCCUGAAUUAACCAGCACAGUGCUUAACUGCAGGCUUCUUGCUGUGUAGCAUAAUAAACCCUGGUGCAGCUAAAAACAUCCUGACCACAUCUCUUGUACAGUUUUAAAGUUCACGUUCUUUACAUCUAGCUUAUCGGCGCUGCCGAUUACGGUAAUGUGAGGCGGGCCUUCAAUAAUCAUGUGCUUUUCCAUGGCUGUGCAGACAAAAUUGAUGGAGUGGAAUAAAGAGGAAAGCUAAUGA